UGCACACGUGCCCGUGUCCACAAAGAGCAU
rnacentral:piRNA from 1 species